rnacentral:tRNA from 1 species
GGUGCUGCGCCGGGCAUGAACGGAUAACUCUGAUGACGUUAACUACGGGGAUAUUCCCCCAUCACCU